rfam:Arthrobacter sp. P2b genome assembly, contig: Ga0157235_102
UGGGACAGCCAGGCGGCCGCGCGUCACGCAAGUGGCUCGAGGAACGUCCGGGCUCCGCAGGGCAGGGUGGUGGGUAACGCCCACUCGGGGUAACCCGCAGGCAAGUGCCACAGAGAACAGACCGCCUGGGUCGCGCCGGUUUGAAAGCGGCACGAAGCAGGUAAGGGUGAAACGGUGGUGUAAGAGACCACCAGCUUUCCGGGUGACCGGGAAGGCUAGGUAAACCCCACCCGGAGCAAGGCCAGACAGGACACGUUUGAGGGCUGCCCGCCCGAGUGUCCGGGUAGGCCGCUGGAGGGUGCCGGCAACGGUACUCGUAGAUGGAUGGCCGUCGCUCCCUUUCCGGCAACGGAAGGGGAGGCACAGAACCCGGCGUAUCGGCUGUCCCAUCCA